rnacentral:ncRNA from 2 species
GCCCCGCUACGUUGAGGGGGCCAUUUCUGCGGUGUUGUGAGGGAAACCGGUGCAAAUCCGGUGCGGUCGCGCCACUGUGAGCGGAUCUUGAGUGAUCCGCGAGUCAGGACGCUCACCUCAUCGCAGGCCCUGUU